rnacentral:rRNA from 1 species
CAGGUCUUGACAUCUUCUGACAGUCUAAGGGAUUAGAGGUUCCCUUCGGGGACAGAAUGACAGGUGGUGCAUGGUUGUCGUCAGCUCGUGUCGUGAGAUGUUGGGUUAAGUCCCGCAACGAGCGCAACCCUUAUUACUAGUUGCCAGCAUUAAGUUGGGCACUCUAGUGAGACUGCCGGUGACAAACCGGAGGAAGGUGGGGACGACGUCAAAUCAUCAUGCCCCUUAUGACCUGGGCUACACACGUGCUACAAUGGAUGGUACAACGAGUCGCGAGACCGCGAGGUUAAGCUAAUCUCUUAAAACCAUUCUCAGUUCGGACUGUAGGCUGCAACUCGCCUACACGAAGUCGGAAUCGCUAGUAAUCGCGGAUCAGCAUGCCGCGGUGAAUACGUUCCC